CCCCUAGAUGUUCUGGACCGCACGCGCGCUACACUGAACAGUUCAACAAGUCUUAACCUUGGCCGAUAGGUCUGGGUAAUCUUUGAACGCUGUUCGUGAUUGGGAUAGACCUUUGCAAUUAUGGGUCUUCAACGAGGAAUUCCUAGUAAACGCAAGUCAUCAGCUUGCAUUGAUUACGUCCCUGCCCUUUGUACACACCGCCCGUCGCACCUACCGAUUGAAUGGUCCGGUGAAAUCUCGGGACGGCGGCUUGGUCGCUUGCGUCCGACUGCUGAAACUUGAUUAAACCAUAUCAUUUAGAGGAAGGUGAAGUCGUANCA
rnacentral:rRNA from 1 species